AGCGAACGCUGGCGGCGUGCCUAACACAUGCAAGUCGAACGUGAAAGGGAGCAAUCCCAAGUAAAGUGGCGUACGGGUGAGUAACACGUAGGUAAUCUACCCCAGAAUCUGGAAUAACCGGCCGAAAGGCUGGCUAAUACUGGAUAGAGCGACGGAAUCCGUAAUUGGGUUUUUCGGGAAAGGGAGCCUGUAAAAAGGCCUUCGUUCUGGGAUGAGCCUGCGUCCCAUCAGCUAGUUGGUGAGGUAAAAGCUUACCAAGGCAAUGACGGGUAGCUGGUCUGAGAGGACGAUCAGCCACACUGGAACUGAAACACGGUCCAGACUCCUACGAGAGGCAGCAGUGGGGAAUCUUGCGCAAUGGACGAAAGUCUGACGCAGCAACGCCGCGUGAGUGAAGAAGGCCUUCGGGUUGUAAAGCUCUGUCGAGUGGGACGAAAAUGCUUGGAGUUCACAGCUCCAGGAACUGACGGUACCACUAAAGGAAGCACCGGCUAACUCCGUG
rnacentral:rRNA from 1 species